rnacentral:rRNA from 1 species
UGGGGAAUAUUGGACAAUGGGCGCAAGCCUGAUCCAGCAAUGCCGCGUGUGUGAAGAAGGCCUUCGGGUUGUAAAGCACUUUCAGUAGGGAAGAAAAGCUUGGCGUUAAUAGCGUCGAGUGCUGACGGUACCUACAGAAGAAGCACCGGCUAAUUCCGUGCCAGCAGCCGCGGUAAUACGGAAGGUGCUAGCGUUAAUCAGAAUCACUGGGCGUAAAGCGCGCGUAGGCGGCUUGGUAAGUCAGAUGUGAAAGCCCCGGGCUCAACCUGGGAAUUGCGUUUGAAACUGCCGGGCUAGAGUGCAGUAGAGGGAAGUGGAAUUCCGCGUGUAGCGGUGAAAUGCGUAGAUAUGCGGAGGAACACCAGUGGCGAAGGCGACUUCCUGGACUGACACUGACGCUCAGGUGCGAAAGCGUGGGGAGCAAACAGGAUUAGAUACCCCUGUAGUCC